rnacentral:rRNA from 1 species
UGACCUCGGAUCAGGUAGGGAUACCGCUG